rnacentral:rRNA from 1 species
AGUCGAGCGAACGGACGAGAAGCUUGCUUCUCUGAUGUUAGCGGCGGACGGGUGAGUAACACGUGGAUAACCUACCUAUAAGACUGGGAUAACUUCGGGAAACCGGAGCUAAUACCGGAUAAUAUUUUGAACCGCAUGGUUCAAAAGUGAAAGACGGUCUUGCUGUCACUUAUAGAUGGAUCCGCGCUGCAUUAGCUAGUUGGUAAGGUAACGGCUUACCAAGGCAACGAUGCAUAGCCGACCUGAGAGGGUGAUCGGCCACACUGGAACUGAGACACGGUCCAGACUCCUACGGGAGGCAGCAGUAGGGAAUCUUCCGCAAUGGGCGAAAGCCUGACGGAGCAACGCCGCGUGAGUGAUGAAGGUCUUCGGAUCGUAAAACUCUGUUAUUAGGGAAGAACAUAUGUGUAAGUAACUGUGCACAUCUUGACGGUACCUAAUCAGAAAGCCACGGCUAACUACGUGCCAGCAGCCGCGGUAAUACGUAGGUGGCAAGCGUUAUCCGGAAUUAUUGGGCGUAAAGCGCGCGUAGGCGGUUUUUUAAGUCUGAUGUGAAAGCCCACGGCUCAACCGUGGAGGGUCAUUGGAAACUGGAAAACUUGAGUGCAGAAGAGGAAAGUGGAAUUCCAUGUGUAGCGGUGAAAUGCGCAGAGAUAUGGAGGAACACCAGUGGCGAAGGCGACUUUCUGGUCUGUAACUGACGCUGAUGUGCGAAAGCGUGGGGAUCAAACAGGAUUAGA